rnacentral:lncRNA from 1 species
GGAGAACGAGGAUAUCAUGAAUACCAUUCGUAAUAGAAUAGCUGAUAAUUUGGUUAGUGCGAGAGGGAGAUAAUGAUCUGGACCAUAUGUUAAUGACGGACAUUAUUAUAUGAAUCAUAUAUAUUUUGUCAAAUGUUAUCUUUAUAUUCAUGUGGACCAUAUGGUAAUGGUGGCUGCAAAACUUAAAAGAGUUAAGUUUCCCUUUCUAAAAUAGUAAUUUACAUGUGAUUCAAUGAACAAUAUAGUAUUUUACGAUUAAUUUGCAUAGCACAGUCCCUCAGACGUUCCAAGGGCAUUACAGACCUUUCUUGCCAAACCUACAGUCUCACAGCUGUUUCAACCAAACGGCUUUCUGCUUUCUCACAACUGACAGCUCACAGCAGCUUUUCCACAACUCACAGCCCACGAUAGCUUUUCCAC